rnacentral:rRNA from 1 species
AGAGGGUGAAACUCCCGUCCGCCUGGUAGAAUGAGUCUUUGUCAACGAGUCGAGUUGUUUGGGAUUGCAGCUCUAAUUUGGUGGUAAAUUCCAUCUAAAGCUAAAUAUUGGUGGGGACCGAUAGCGUACAAGUACCGUGAGGGAAAGAUGCAAGGAACUUUGAAAAGAGAGCUAAAGAGUACCUGAAAUUGCUGAAACGGAAGCGAAGGAAACCAGUGUUUGUUGGUUCAUAUUUCCCUGACCACUUGUGGUUUGGGCGCCGUGAGCUUGCGUGGGUUUGGGUUGGUUGAUCCCUUUGGAAGAGCGCAGUCAGAGUUGAUGUCU